GACGUAGGGCGCGAGCGUUGUCCGGAUUUAUUGGGCGUAAAGAGCUCGUAGGCGGCUUGUUGCGUCAGCUGUGAAAAACCCGCAGCUCAACUGUGGGCUUGCAGCUGAUACGGGCAGGCUUAGAGUUCGGUGGAGGGAGACUGGAAUUCCUGGUGUAGCGGUGAAAAUGCGCAGAUAUCAGGAGGAACACCGGUGGCGAAGGCGGGUCUCUGGGCCGAUACUGACGCUGAGGAGCGAAAGCGUGGGGAGCGAACAGG
rnacentral:rRNA from 1 species